AACAAAGAAAUUACAAUAAAAUCAAUUAAAGAUGGCAAGUGUGAUGAAGUGAGGGGUCUCACUCUCCCUCACCAAAGGCCUGGGUGAAAAGCCAGGUCUUCACAGCUCUUCUAAGCAACAGCAGAAUGGGGGCCAUCCAGAUCUUGGGGGGAACCUUGUUCCAGGGGGCAGGUGCUGCUACAGAGAGGUGCAUUUCUAGGUUCCUGAGAGAUGACAUUGUUUAAUUGAAGGAACCUGGAGCACACCAACCCAGCAGGAUUGAAUCAGCCAAGCAGAUGCUAUGGGAGAUAGGCAGUCCCUCAAGUAAUCAGCCCUAUGCCAUUUAGGCUUUAUACAUAACAACCAGCAGCUUGAACAAACCCAGAUGCAAACUGGCAACUAGUGCAGUUUGCAAAGCAGAGAUGUUACAUGGGCAUACUGAGGCAUGCCGCAUUCUGGACUAAUUAAAGCUUCUGUGUCGUCUUCAAGGGCAGCCCCAUGUAGAGCGUGUUGCAGUAGUUAAGCCACAAGGUGAUUUGGGUAUGAGUGACUGUCUGAAGGGCCCCCUGAUCUAGGAAAGGGCACAACUGGUGCACCAGAUGGAGUUGUGCAAAGAUCUUCCUGGCCACAGCUGACACCUGCUCUUCAAGCACGAGCUGUGAGUCCAGGAAGACCCCCAGAUUUCUAGUUUUGCUUAUUCAGUUUGAGAGGAAAUUUUUAAAAAUAAAUUAAGACACACUAUAUACUUCCCCAGUCAGACAUUUUGUUAUCGGGAACUUACUAAUAGAAUUCAUCAUUUGGAAGAUUUAAUUUUAAUCGUACUUCAGUAUUGUAAACAGCCACCUUUAUUGUGCAACAUUUACUGCCAGCAGCCUGGUGACCCACUUAUAAAGUAAUGCUCCCACACUAUUCAGGAAUUGUAGGCCUAGUCUCCAGUUUAUAUGCACUCUCCUUGGUAUUCCUUAUCACCAUGGAGACAGAGUUAAUUGUCAACAGAGCUGUCAUGCUCUUCAGUGAGAGCAAAUGGUUCUGGUGCCCAUCAGGGGCUGGGAGUAUUUUGCACUAUGAUAAGGUGCAAAAUGAGAAGGGUCACAUAUAUGUGGAAAGAAAUGCAAAUAUGCCAUACUCUACCCUGAAGUGAGCAAAACACUGUUUUAUAUUUUCAUUCCAUUAAUUUGAAUGGGUUGCCUAUAUUUUGGCUACCAUUCUGUGGCAGAAGGUGGAAACAUUUUGACUGUAGUUUUCAACAAUUCCAUUUUUCCAAUCAGAACAUAAUAGGAUGGGAAAAUGGAUUUUUAUUAUUAUAUUCUAUGAUAAAGGUAUGGAACAUUUUGUGCGUUGAAGACUGUAUUCCCUAAAAAUAUUUUGGAGGGUCCCAUGGCAAUUGGCAGGGCCACAGUCCAAAGUGGCUGGGUCACCCUUUUUUCUCUCUGGACUCUCAAUGAGCUGUUAAGAAAGGCCUAGACAGCUCCUGCUGGAGGUCUAAAGUGACUGUUAAGAGAGACAACUGCAGAUUGCUUGUUCCUGGUGUAGGCUCUAAAACUGUUUAAUGCAUUUGCUGCCUGGCUUAGUGUGAACAACCUGCUAUGUUUUGCAAGGCAGGAGCUGGUGACCAAAAUGGAUCUUUUGUCUAAUCUACCAAAUGACUGGUUUGAUGCUCAGUGUAUUCACGAAAAUAUUUGUAAAGAAGUCCUAGGAGAACAGAUUUCUGGAUUGUCAUCUUCUGGACACUUUUAUCCGCUGCUUCAGGAUGUUCCCUCCAACAGGGAACAUUUCAAGGAAGAUGUUGAAGACUGUCCAUUUGGCUCCUGGCUCUUGAUUUGUUCUCAUGGUAUCCCAAAGCAGUCAAUCUAAAGGAGAAGAAUUAGAACUAUUUUCAAAAUUUAGCCACUGUGGCCUACUUGUAUUGUCACUCAGUUUGGUACAAUAUCCAUAAUUUUGUAACAAGAUGAUCUUCCAUUUCUAUAUUUGACAGUUUUCUACAUACAGUAAUCUUCAUUCAGAUAGAACAAAAAGCAUUUGCUGUUGCCUCUCCAUUAUCCAUGUUCCUAUUAUUAUAAGUAGGGAGUAAGGCAGUUGAUAACUGUGAUUAAACUGAAGUAUUAUGGCUUCCUUAGAUUGUGGGUUGUGGUAAGGAAAUUGAGAACCAAAGCUUUGAAGUAUAUACAGGUAGCUCAAUUGCUCUGAGCCCAUGUUCUAUUGCUAGGUUUGUUAUUGGUUAAUUCCAAUCUGCUUCACACAUGCAUAGUGUUUGGAUAAAAUAACAUUUUUUUGCAUUUGAUUCUUAA